GUGCUCGCUUCGGCAGCACAUAUACUAAAACUGGAACGAUACAGAGAAGAUUAGCUUGGCCCCUGCAUAAGGAUGACACGCAAAUUCGUGAAGCAUUCCAUAUUUUU
rnacentral:snRNA from 1 species